rnacentral:rRNA from 1 species
AUGCCAAGCUAUAAUUGUUGGACCAAGCAUGGAGAAAGAGGGGUUAUAAUGGAAGAAGAUGAAGAAGGGGAUGAUUUCAUCGAUGAAAGCUAUCUUGCUCAUUUCGGUGAUACUUUCAUGGAGGAUGCUGAAGGUGAAGGGGAAGGUGAAGGGGAAGGUGAAGGGGAAGGUGAAGGGGAAGGUGAAGAAGAGGCACGUGAUGAGACCGUUGAUGAUCUUGGUCGGACCAUUGCUGAUGCACGGAGACGCUGCGAAACUGAAAAGGAGAGGGAGAAUUUGGAUCGCAUGUUAGAGGAUCACAGAAAGUCGUUGUACCCUGGAUGCGAUGAUGGUCUGAAAAAGUUGGGCUGCACACUGGAUUUGCUGAAAUGGAAGGCACAGGCAGGUGUAGCUGACUCGGCAUUUGAAAACUUGCUGAAAAUGUUGAAGAAUAUGUUUCCAAAGAAUAACGAGUUGCCCGCCAGUACGUACGAAGCAAAGAAGGUUGUCUGCCCUCUAGGUUUAGAGGUUCUGAAGAUACAUGCAUGCAUCAACGACUGCAUCCUCUACCGCGGUGAAUACGAGAAUUUGAAUGAAUGCCCGGUAUGCACUGCAUUGCAUUAUAAGAUCAGAGGCAAUGACCCUGGUGACGAUGUUGAGGGCGGGAAACCCAGGAAGAGGGUUCCCGCCAAGGUGAUGUGGUAUGCUCCUAUAAUACCACGGUUGAAACGUCUGUUCAGGAACAAAGAGCAUGCCAAGUUGUUGCGAUGGCACAAAGAGGACCGUAAGUCGGACGGGGAGUUGAGACACACCGCAGAUGGAACGCAAUGGAGAAAGAUCGACAGAGAGUUCAAAGAUUUUGCAGUUAACGCAAGGAACAUAAGAUUUGGUCUAAGUACAGAUGGCAUGAAUCCUUUUGGCGAGCAGAGCUCCAGCCAUAGCACCUGGCCCGUGACUCUAUGCAUCUACAACCUUCCUCCUUGGUUGUGCAUGAAACGGAAGUUCAUUAUGAUGCCAGUGCUCAUCCAAGGUCCGAAGCAACCCGGCAACGACAUCGAUGUGUACCUAAGGCCAUUAGUUGAUGAACUUUUACAGCUGUGGGGCAGACCUGGUGUCCGUGUGUGGGAUGAGCACAAAAAAGAGGAAUUUAACCUACGAGCGUUGCUUUUCGUAACCAUCAACGAUUGGCCUGCUCUUAGUAACCUUUCGGGACUGUCAAAUAAGGGAUACAAUGCAUGCACGCACUGCUUACAUGAGACUGAAAGUGUACAUUUGCCAAAUUGUAAGAAGAACGUGUACCUUGGGCAUCGUCGAUUUCUUCCGAAAAUUUAUCCAGUAAGAAAGAAAGGCAAGCAUUACAACGGCAAGGCAGAUCACCGGCCGAAGCCUGCAGAACGCACUGGUGCUGAGGUAUUUGAUAUGGUCAAGGAUUUGAAAGUCAUCUUUGGAAAGGGUCCUGGCGGACAAUCAGUUCCGAAGGGAGCUGACGGGCACGCAGCCAUGUGGAAGAAGAAAUCUAUAUUCUGGGAGCUAGAAUAUUGGAAAGUCCUAGAAGUCCGCUCUGCAAUCGACGUGAUGCAUGUUACGAAGAAUAUUUGCGUGAACCUCCUAAGCUUCUUGGGCGUGUAUGGGAAGACAAAUGAUACAAAGGAAGCACGGCAGGACCAGCAACGUUUGAAAGACCAUAAUGACCGGCAUCCGGAAUGGUUUCAAGGUCGUGCCAGCUACGCUCUGACCAAAGAAGAGAAGGUCAUCUUUUUUGAAUGCCUGAGCAGUAUGAAGGUCCCUUCUGGAUUCUCGUCCAAUAUAAAGGGAAUAAUAAACAUGGCGGAGAAAAAGUUCCAAAACCUGAAGUCUCACGACUGCCACGUGAUUAUGACGCAAUUGCUUCCGAUUGCUUUGAGGGGGCUCCUGCCGGAAAAUGUUCGAGUAGCCAUUGUGAAGCUAUGUGCAUUCCUCAAUGCAAUCUCUCAGAAGGUAAUCAAUCCAGAAGAUCUACCACGGUUACAGAACGAUGUGAUCCAAUGUCUUGUCAGUUUCGAGUUAGUGUUCCCGCCAUCCUUCUUCAAUAUUAUGACGCACCUCUUGGUUCACCUAGUCGAAGAGAUUUCCAUUCUCGAUCCUGUAUUUCUACACAAUAUGUUCCCCUUCGAGAGGUUCAUGGGAGUAUUAAAGAAAUAUGUUCGUAACCGUGCUAGGCCAGAAGGAAGCAUCGCCAAGGGCUAUGGAAAUGAGGAGGUAAUUGAGUUUUGUGUUGACUUUGUUCCUGACCUUAAGCCGAUUGGUCUUCCUCGAUCGCGGCACGAGGGGAGACUAAGUGGAAAAGGCACGAUCGGAAGGAAAUCAAUGACAUGUAUGGACGGCCAUUCUCUGACUGAAGCACACCACACUGUACUGACCAAUUCCAGCUUGGUGGCUCCGUACUUUGAGAAACACAAGAAUAUUUUACGCUCGGACAACCCGGGGAAGCCUGAAUCCUGGAUUAGAAAGGCCCACAUGGAGACUUUCGGCAGUUGGUUGAGAAAACAUUUAAUGAAUGACAAUGAUGUUGUAGAUCAGCUGUACAUGUUGGCCAAGACACCAUCUUCGACUAUAACGACUUUCCAAGGGUACGAGAUAAAUGGGAAUACAUUUUACACGAUCACCCAAGAUAAAAAGAGCACCAACCAAAACAGUGGUGUCCGCUUUGAUGCAGCAACCGAGAAUGGGCAAAAGGUCACAUAUUAUGGUUACAUAGAGGAGAUAUGGGAACUUGACUAUGGACCCUCCUUUAAGGUCCCUUUGUUCCGGUGCAAAUGGUUCAAGCUAACAGGAGGUGGGGUAAAGGUGGACCAGCAAUACGGAAUGACAAUGGUGGAUUUCAACAAUCUUGGUUACCUUGACAAACCAUUCGUCCUAGCGAAAGAUGUCGCUCAGGUUUUCUAUGUGAAGGACAUGAGUAGCAAACCGAGGAAACGAAAAGAUAAGAAAACGAUCAAUACAUCAUGCGAUGAUCCAAAGCGCCACAUUGUUCUUUCAGGGAAAAGAAACAUCGUGGGAGUGGAGGACAAGACAGACAUAUCAGAAGAUUAUAAUAUGUUUGCUGAAAUUCCGCCCUUCAAAGUGAACACCGACCCAAGCAUUAAGUUAAAUGAUGAGGAUGCUCCAUGA